rnacentral:rRNA from 1 species
GAUGAACGCUGGCGGCGUGCCUAAUACAUGCAAGUCGAGCGAACGGACGAGACGCUUGCUUUUCUGAUGUUAGCGGCGGGCGGGUGAGUAACACGUGUAUAACCUACCUAUCAGACUGGUAUCACUUCGGGAAACCGGAGCUAAUACCGGAUAAUCUUUUGAACCACGUGGUUCAAAAGUGAAAGACGGUCUUUCUGUCACUUCUAGAUGGAUCCCCGCUGCAUGAGCUAGUUGUUAAGUUCACGGCUUACCAAGGCAACGCUGCGUAGCCGAACUGAGAGGGUGAUCGCCCACACUGGAAGGGAGACACGGUCCAGAGUCCUAAGGUAGGGAGCAGUAGGGAAUGUGACGCAAUGGGGGAAAGCCUGACGGAGUAAGGCGGAGCGAGAGAUGAAGGUCCUGGGAUCGGAAUAAUGUGUUAUGAGGGAAGAACAGAUGUGGAAGGAACUGUGCACAGCGUGACGGUAAUUAAUCAGAAAGCCACGGCUAACUACGUG